rnacentral:rRNA from 1 species
GACGAACGCUGGCGGCGUGCUUAACACAUGCAAGUCGAACGGAAAGGCCCUGCUUUUGUUGGGUGCUCGAGUGUCGAACGGGUGUGUAACACGUGAGUACCCUGCCCUUGACUCUGUGAUAACUUCAUUAAACUCGGGCUAAUAUCGGGUAUGCGCUCCUGCUGCAUGUUGUGUGUUGGAAAGUUUCGGCGGUUGGGGAUGUACUCGCGGCUUAUCAGCUUGUUGGUGGGGUAGUGGCUUACCAAGGCUUUGACGGGUAGCCGGCCUGAGAGGGUGACCGGCCACACUGGGACUGAGAUACGGCCCAGACUCCUACGGGAGGCAGCAGUGGGGAAUAUUGCACAAUGGGCGGAAGCCUGAUGCAGCAACGCCGCGUGAGGGAUGACGGCCUUCGGGUUGUAAACCGCUUUCGGCAGGGAAGAAGCGAGAGUGACGGUAAUGGGUAAAGAAGCACCGGCUAACUACGUG